rnacentral:rRNA from 1 species
CUUAAAUUGAAGAGUUUGAUCAUGGCUCAGAUUGAACGCUGGCGGCAGGCCUAACACAUGCAAGUCGAGCGGCAGCGGGAAGUAGUUUACUACUUUGCCGGCGAGCGGCGGACGGGUGAGUAAUGUCUGGGGAUCUGCCUGAUGGAGGGGGAUAACUACUGGAAACGGUAG